rnacentral:rRNA from 1 species
ACCCGCUGAACUUAAGCAUAUCAAUAAGCGGAGGAAAAGAAACCAACAGGGAUUGCCUUAGUAGCGGCGAGUGAAGCGGCAAAAGCUCAAAUUUGAAAUCUGGCUCUUUCAGAGUCCGAGUUGUAAUUUGAAGAAGGUAUCUUUGGGUCUGGCUCUUGUCUAUGUUUCUUGGAACAGAACGUCACAGAGGGUGAGAAUCCCGUGCGAUGAGAUGAUCCACGCCUAUGUAAAGUUCCUUCGAAGAGUCGAGUUGUUUGGGAAUGCAGCUCUAAGUGGGUGGUAAAUUCCAUCUAAAGCUAAAUAUUGGCGAGAGACCGAUAGCGAACAAGUACAGUGAUGGAAAGAUGAAAAGAACUUUGAAAAGAGAGUGAAAAAGUACGUGAAAUUGUUGAAAGGGAAGGGCUUGAGAUCAGACUUGGUAUUUUGUAUGUUACUUCUUCGGGGGUGGCCUCUACAGUUUAUCGGGCCAGCAUCAGUUUGGGCGGUAGGAGAAUUGCGUUGGAAUGUGGCACGGCUUCGGUUGUGUGUUAUAGCCUUCGUCGAUACUGCCAGCCUAGACUGAGGACUGCGGU